ensembl:snRNA U2 U2 spliceosomal RNA
AUUGCUUCUCGGCCUUUUGGCUAAGAUCAAGUGUAGUAUCUGUUCUUGUCACUUUAAAAUUUUAUUUAAAUUUUUUAAAUUUAAUUUUUAAUUUUAAAGUUACUUAUUUAUUUUGAUGCUAGGUUAUGAGACUGGUUAAUUUUUAUAUUUUUGGUAGAAAUGGGGUUUUGCCAUGUUGCCCAGACUGGUCUCAAACUC